GUUGUGUACUGGGUUCAACUGCCUCCGUAUUCCUACACCAGGAUCGUUUGGCUCCUUAUCGUGGACGAUGCUCUGACAUGGAGAGACAAAUGGAAUCAUCACCAUCACCAGCUUCUACUCAAGAGGUAAAUCAAGGUUUAGCCUCUUCCUUCGAUACUGCACAAAAUUCGUAGACAGGCAGAAGUCCACACCACUAACCUCUGCGAACACCUCAACCUCAUCGACAGCAACGCCUGCCAGCCCAUCUCAGGGACUUUGUGCUUCCUCGGGACAAGAAGCUGAGGGGGUGGCUGUGUAACGUGCAGGCAGUGUUUUCUAACCUUGUCUGAGGGACAAUUGUAAGGGGAGGACUCACCUCGGAGGAGAUGUUUUGUUUUUGUUGUGUUCCAGAGGUGUGCCGUACGUUAGAGGAUUCCAGAGGAGUCAACGAGAGUGCUCCAUUUUUGUAUAGGAACGAGUCAACCAAAAUAAAAUUGAAGAGGCCCUGACAGCUGUGAAUGCUCCUGUUCUUAUUUACCCGGAUCGCUACAAUAUUAUGCAUUACAGAAUGCACUUCAACAUGUAUGUUUUUAAUGGUAUUUAUUUAGAUCAUUCAAAAUCAUACAAUUCAUUAAUUCAUUCAUUAAUUCAUAAAGAUAAACAGAUUUGCUGUGUUUUGCUUAUAAUCAAAUGUUUUCAAAAUUGAAUGGUCAACUUGACUGUGUACCUUUUUAAACAACACAUUACAUACAUCAUGAUUAUUAAGAAAUGUUCAAAAUUUAAUUAGGAUUCCUCCAAGUUGAACUCUACCAGAAAUGUAUUUCAUUUUCUGGCAAGUUUUUUCCAUCCGUCUUUUCAUCUGCUUAUCUAAAUAUGCCUAAUCCACCAGAGCCUAACUUGACAGCAUCAGGUGCACGGCAGAAAUCAAAAAGAGACACAAAAAGGUUAGUUCAUAUGAUAGACAGCAAUAAUGCAAGAAAAGUAGAAAAAUUAAAAGCAUUUUG